rnacentral:rRNA from 1 species
GAUGAACGCUAGCGGCAGGCCUAAUACAUGCAAGUCGAACGGCAAGAUUUGUAGCAAUACGAAUCCUAGAGUGACGUACGGGUGCGUAACACGUAUGCAACCUACCCAUAACUGGAGGAUAGCUCCCCGAAAGGGGAAUUAACCCUCCAUAGUAUAAUUGAGUGGCAUCACUUGAUUAUUAAAACUCCGGUGGUUAUGGAUGGGCAUGCGUCUGAUUAGUUAGUUGGCGGUGUAACGGACCACCAAGACGAUGAUCAGUAGGGGAACUGAGAGGUUGAUCCCCCACACUGGCACUGAGAUACGGGCCAGACUCCUACGGGAGGCAGCAGUAGGGAAUAUUGGUCAAUGGAUGCAAGUCUGAACCAGCCAUGCCGCGUGCAGGAAGAAGGCCCUAUGGGUUGUAAACUGCUUUUGCCAGGGGAUAAAAUGAGCUUACGAGCUUAAUUGAAGGUACCUGGUGAAUAAGCCACGGCUAACUACGUGCCAGCCGCCGCGGUAAUAC